GGUGGUAUUCUCGUUUUCGUAUUAGCAUCAGUAGGUGAUUAAGAAAGCAGAAGAGAUGGCUGUUGGAAAGGCAUUCCUCUUCACUUGCGUCGUAUUAUUCAUUCUACCUGAGAUGUUGGUGGUCUGUAAAUCCUCUCGCAUUGUUGCAUCGAAUGGGCCAGCAAAGGUCGGCAUAUCAGUGAAGUCAAAACCUUCAAGGCCUAGUCCAGGAUGCUUCCUCUCCACAUCGACGGCCCAACUGAGACCUCCAUCCUAUUGCCACGGAGGGCCUCCGCGGCAUCCCUGAUCAAUUUGGUUCAUUUGGUAUCCAUAUAUAUGAAGCACUUCCUAAAUUUCCGUUCUGAUGUUACAUAUAGCUUAUGGUCAUCUCAAUACUUGCAGGUGUUGAGUGGUAGUGGAAUUUAUUACUAUUAUUAAGAUGUGUGUGCGUGUUUUCUUUUAUUUUUGUUUUACUAAAAUAAGGACUCCGCAAUUUUUUUAGGAA